rnacentral:rRNA from 1 species
GACGAACGCUGGCGGCGUGCCUAAUACAUGCAAGUAGAACGCUGAAGAGAGGAGCUUGCUCCUAGCGGAUGAGUUGCGAACGGGUGAGUAACGCGUAGGUAACCUGCCUGGUAGCGGGGGAUAACUAUUGGAAACGAUAGCUAAUACCGCAUAAAAUGGAUUAUCGCAUGAUAAUCCAUUGAAAGGUGCAAAUGCAUCACUACCAGAUGGACCUGCGUUGUAUUAGCUAGUUGGUGGGGUAACGGCUCACCAAGGCGACGAUACAUAGCCGACCUGAGAGGGUGAUCGGCCACACUGGGACUGAGACACGGCCCAGACUCCUACGGGAGGCAGCAGUAGGGAAUCUUCGGCAAUGGACGGAAGUCUGACCGAGCAACGCCGCGUGAGUGAAGAAGGUUUUCGGAUCGUAAAGCUCUGUUGUAAGAGAAGAACGAGUGUGAGAGUGGAAAGUUCAC